GCUGUAGCUUAGUGGCAGAGCAUAUGCUUUGUGUGCAGAAGACCCCAGGUUCACUCCCAAGCAUCUCCA